rnacentral:rRNA from 1 species
AUGCAAGUCGACGGUACACGAAGACUUUGCUGCUUCGCUGACGAGUGGCGCACGGGUGAAUAGUGUCUGGGAAACUGCCUGAUGGAGGGGGAUAUCUACUGGAAACGGUAUCUAAUACCGCAUAACGUCGCAAGACCAAAGAGGGGGACCUUCGGCCCUCUUGCCCUCAUGUGUGCCCAUAUGAGAUUAUCUAAUAGGUGGGGUAGCGUCUCCCCUAGGAGACGAUCCCUAUGUGGUCUGAGAAGAUGACCACCCACUCUGGAACUGACACACGGCCCACACUCCUACGGGAGGCAGCAGUGGAGAAUAUUGCACAGUGGGCGCAACCCUGAUGCACCCGUGCCGCGUGUAUGAAAAAGGCCUUCGGGUUGUAAAGUACUUUCAGCGGAGAAGAAGGGAGUAGAGUUAAUACCUUUGCUCAUUGACGUUACCCGCAAAAAAAGCCCCGUAUAUCUCCGUGCCAACACCCGCGGUAAUACAGAGGGUGCAAGCGUUACUCAAAAUUACUGGGCGUAAAGCGCACGCACGCGUUUUGUUAACUCAUAUGAGAACUCCCCGGUCUCACCCUGAAAACUGCAUCUGAUACUGGCAAUCUUGACUCUCGUAGAGGGGGGUAGAAUUCCAUGUGUAGCGGAGAUGUGCGUAGAGAUCUGGAGGAAUAGCGGUGGAGAGCGCGCCCCUCUGGACGAACAGUGACUCUCGUGUGAGAAAGCGUGG